UACGUAGGGUGCAAGCGUUGUCCGGAAUUAUUGGGCGUAAAGAGCUCGUAGGCGGCUUGUUGCGUCGACUGUGAAAACCCGCGGCUCAACCGUGUGGCUUGCAGUCGAUACGGGCAGGCUAGAGUUCGGUAGGGGAGACUGGAAUUCCUGGUGUAGCGGUGAAAUGCGCAGAUAUCAGGAGGAACACCGAUGGCGAAGGCAGCUCGCUGGGACGGACUGACGCUGAGGCGCGAAAGCGUGGGGAGCAAACAGG
rnacentral:rRNA from 1 species